rnacentral:rRNA from 1 species
UACGUAGGGUGCAAGCGUUAAUCGGAAUUACUGGGCGUAAAGCGUGCGCAGGCGGUUAUGCAAGACAGAUGUGAAAUCCCCGGGCUCAGCCUGGGAACUGCAUUUGUGACUGCAUCGCUGGAGUACGGCAGAGGGGGAUGGAAUUCCGCGUGUAGCAGUGAAAUGCGUAGAUAUGCGGAGGAACACCGAUGGCGAAGGCAAUCCCCUGGGCCUGUACUGACGCUCAUGCACGAAAGCGUGGGGAGCAAACAGG